CUAAUAUUCAGCUAGGAUCACUUGAACACAAGUCUGGUCAUCUUUGGGCUAACUGGGCCGGCCAGACGACUGGUGGUCUACCUUUGUUGGCAGUCUCCAUGUCCUCCUUUUCAAACAUGAGGUUGUAGCCCUGCACUGCUCCCGUGUGGAACUGCAGCCGGAAAAUGACUUCACGCUCUGAAGUGAUGUCACUCUUAUGAUAACAUUUAAUCUACAAAGAAAAAAAACACCAAAAGUAUUGUGAUUAUUACAGUCAAUGCUGAUUCAAGGAACUUCCAAAGGCAUCUUCUUUUUUUUGAUUGUUUUACCAUGAUGUCUCCUUUUAGAAGCUGGGCAGGCUCCAGAGUGAUGCAUACACGGUCUCUGUGGCUUGGACCGAUGUGACUGAAAUAAAAUGACAGAAAGUCAGUAAAAGCAAGCACAGAUAUUUACUGAAAGCAGUAACCUCUAAUUAAAACCAGCAUUAAACUAAUGUAAAUUAAAAUUACUUAAAAGGAUUCCAACACUUUUAACUAAACAAUGAUAUCAAAUGACUGCUACACAUGUGUAAGCUACUUACUAGAUACCAGAGGAAUACACUGCUUGCAUUCCCUGGUAGACCUUGAUGUAUGGACGACACACUGUAAAGGAAAAAAUAAAAAGACUUCAACAAA